CGCACAUUGCGCCCAUCAGUACUCUGGUGGGCAUGCCUGUUCGAGCGUCAUUUCAACCCUCAGGCCCUGUACUGCCUGGCGUUGGGGCUUCUGUGAGCGCUGGCUACAGCACUCGCAGGCCCCCAAGAUCAGUGGCGGGCCCGCCGCGGCUCCGAGCGUAGUAGUUUACUUUCUCGCUUGGGAGGCUCGGCGGUUCCCAGCCGUCAAAAACACCACUGUAAUUUUACAAGGUUGACCUCGGAUCAGGUAGGAAUACCCGCUGAACUUAA
rnacentral:misc_RNA from 1 species